CUCUUCUUGAUUGUUUAGGAAGUUUGGCCUGCCCAGUGACAUUGUUUAACGGCCGCGGUAUUCUGACCGUGCAAAGGUAGCAUAAUCAUUAGUUCUUUAAUGGGGGACUGGUAUGAAUGGCUCGACGAAGAAUUGACUGUCUCAAUUUAAUUUAUAUAAUUUAGCUUUUAGGUUAAAAGGCUUAGAUUCUGUUGGAAGACGAGAAGACCCUAUAGAGCUUUAUACUUUAAUUUUUAAUUUGGUUUUUGUUUUAUUAUUUUGGAUUAAGAUUUUAUGUAUUUUGUUGGGGUGAUGUUAGAUAUAAAUUUAACUUUUAUUGUUUGGUGAACAUUGAUUUAUGGUUAUAUGAUCCAUUAUUAUUGAUCAUUAGAAUAAGUUACCUUAGGGAUAACAGCGUGAUCCUCUCUUGGAGUUCUUAUUUACGGGAGGGCUUGCGACCUCGAUGUUGGAUUAAGAUAAUUAUUUGGCGUAGUAGCUUUAUUAAUAGGUCUGUUCGACCUUUAAAUUCUUACAUGAUCUGAGUUCAGACCGG
rnacentral:rRNA from 1 species